GAUUAGUCUGGAUGAUAUGGGUGGGCCCAAAGUAGUCACAAAUGUCCUGAAAAGCAAAAGAAGAAGGAGGAAGAGGAGGUCAGAAUGAUGCAACGUGAAAAGGACUCAACGAGCCAUUGUUGGCUUUGAAGAGGGAGGAAGAGGGUCACAGCCAAGGAAUGUAGGAAGCCUAUAGAACCUGGAAAAGGAUAUUUGUGACUACUUUGGGCCCACUCAGAUCAUCCAGGAUAAUAUCCCUAUUUAAAGGAGUUGAAGAUCUCACUAUGUUACUCAGACUGGCCUUGAACUCCUGGGCUUAAGGGAUCCUCCUGUCUCGGCCUCCUGAGUAGCAGAGACUACAGGCUCAAGCCACUAUACUUAGACUUCUUGGCGUUACAUUGUGAAUUGUUUCUACUGAUUUACCUACGAGUUUUCUAGUCUUUUCUUCUGGAGUGUCUAAGAUGCUGUUCAUCUCAGCCAGUAUUUCUUCAUCUAUGAUUACUUUGGACUUAUCCAUCAACAAAAACCUUCUGCUAGUACCUUGUCUGUAAUCACCAGAAAAGCCCUUGAGUUUCCAGCAGUGUUUCUUUUUAAUUUCUGUAAGUAUAUUUAUUACUGCUUGAGAUCCUCAGGGGUUUUGAAUCUAGCCUGGCAUUCUGUAUCUCCUUCCAGCAAAUUAACAUGAACAACUUCUGAGAUCUCUGCCAAAGUAUUCUAUACAAAAGCAUUUACAGCUUUAAAAU